CCCCCUGCUUAUGCUCACUUGCUCUCCCUCUGUCAAAUAAAUAAAAUCUUAAAAAAGGAAAUGUCAUUGCCCAGGCCCGUGACCAGGCACUGCUAUUGCCCGGGUCCCCCAGGUGAUUCUCACGUGUAGCCUGGGUUGAUGAUUGCUGCCCUGAAGCAUCCCCACACUGGAGGUGAGAGCCCCAUUCUCACCAGUGGCAGGAAAGAGCCACCAUUUCGAUGUGCUGUCUGUUCCCACCACCAGCAGAGGGCACACGGAACAAAUGCGUUGUUCCCUCCCCUUAUUCCCCGGGCCAGAACCACAGAUCUUCACUUGACCCCCGAGGGCUCCUGCAGCACGCCAGGGGGGCAGUACCUGGGAUCUGUCCAAGCUCACCUGUGCUCAACCCCUGUGGAUUCUGGUAGGUGCUGGGGUAUCUGCAUUUUUAUGCUUCCCAGGUAAUUCCGAGGCACCCGGGCUUUUGAGAAUCUCUGGGAUUUACCCUGCCUGGAAGCCAUGCAGAUGAUAAAGCAGUUUCUCAGGAGAUGCAAGUGGCCUUCAGAUUCAGGCAGUGGAUAUAUAGGCGAUUCCCCCACUUUGACGACAACGCCAAAAUAAUAAUCUAAUAGAAAUACCCACGCCGACUUACGAGGAUGUUCACCGAAUGUUUCUAAUAGCUAAACGAAUGAACAGCAGUGACAAAACUGGAAGUUAACAGUUGUGAGUAGGUCACAUGGGUGAAUAAAUGUUGGCAGAGCCAUACAAUGGAGUCUUACAUGGCCCUUACAAAGAAUGAUGUUGAGGGGUGCCUGGGUGGCUCAGUCAGUUGAGCAUCCGACUCUUGGUUUCGGCUCAGGUCAUGGGAUUGAGCCCCGUGUUGGACUCCAUGCUCAGCGAGGAAUCUAUUUGAGUUUCUCUCUCCCUCUGCCCCUCCCCACCAUUCAUAGGCUCUCUCUUUAAAAUAAAUAAAUACAUCUUUUUUUAUUUUUAAGAUUUUAUUUAUUUGACAGAGAGAGACACAGCAAGAGAGGGAACAUAAGUAGGGGGAGUGGGAGAGGGAGAAGCAGGCCUCCCGCUGAGCAGGGAGCCCGAUGUGGGGCUUGAUCCCAGGACCCUGGGAUCAUGACCUGAGCCGAAGGCAGACUGAGCCACCCAGGUGCCCCAAUAAAUAAAUACAUCUUAAAAAGAAAAGAAUGAGGUUGAAUUAUAUCUGCUGAUGUGGAAAGGUAACCAUAGGGUAAUGAUAAGUGGAAGAAAAAGCAAGUCACAGAACAGUAUAGUUUCAUGUGGUCUUAUUUCUUUUUUUUUAUUUUUAAAAAAAUUUUUUUUUCUUAAGAUUUUAUUUAUUUGCGAGAGAGACAAUGAGAGACAGAGAACAUGAGAGGGAGGAGGGUCAGAGGGAGAAGCAGACUCUCUGCUGAGCAGGGAGCCCGAUGUGGGACUCGAUCCCGGGACUCCAGGAUCAUGACCUGAGCCGAAGGCAGUCGCUUAACCAACUGAGCCACCCAGGCGCCCCUCAUGUGGUCUUAUUUCUAUGUUUGUACAAACCACGUAGAUUCUAAUUUGUUCACAGUGGUUACGGUUGGGGGUGGUAGGGGGUGGACAGGAUGGAGGGAAGAUGUGCACAUUGAACCUUAUAACCUGAUACUGUAUUUAAGUUUUCACGAUAGAGUAUGUUGUCUAUCUUAACAAAUGAAGAAAAAUGCUGUGAAAAACAAGGUCUCUUUCAAGUCAGCUUUCUAGGUGAAGAGAAGUUUCUCCACCAUGAAUUCCCAUUCUGGACUUGGAAGCUGAGCUGACAUUGGGAAACAUUCAGUCGUGGAGAUCGUUGGUGACAUGGUCAUGUUUGUCCCUCCUAGAGUGGUUUUCCUGGCUGUCUGCUGAGACCUGUCUGGACUCUGGGCGCCUUCGUGCCCUGGGCUGGGUAUAAUUUAGCUGCAGGUAGUGGGGUGGUCUAUACCAUGUCCGUUUCCAUACGGUACUUGCUAUGGACUGAAGGUGUAUACCCCCCGCAAAAUUCAGAUGCUGAAGCCGUAACCCCCAGUGUAAUGGUGUUUGGAGGUGGGGCCUUUGGGAGGUGAUUAAGGUCCCCAUGAUGGGAUUCGGGCCCUUACAAAUAAAGAGGCUUUCUGUAUGACCUCAGGAAGGCCAUGUGAGGACAUCGGAGGAAGAGAUCCUGACCAAGAACCUGACCAUGGACUUCCAGCCUCCAGAACUGUGAGAAAUACAUGCUUACCGUUUAAGCCGUCCAGUGUAUGGUUGUUGGGGAGGUCAUCAAGAGGGCACGACUGCCAGUUGACCCUCAAACUGGCCCCGGGCAAUCAGAGGCUCCUCACCCCCUGCCCUGUCCCUGGAAUGCAGGUUCCGCCUGACUUCUCUGUUUCCAGAAGCUGCCCAAGGACACUUCGUUGACAUGGUGAUGUGUUGGUGUUGAGACCAUCUGCACAGUGGACACUCCUGAACCCAGUGAAGGCCUCCAUAUAAACUCUUAAGAUUCUGGCAGGUGGGUGUGGAGACCUCCUCAUCUUGCAGCUGCCCAAGACAAGCCUUAGAGAGCACAAGCAGGGGGAGCGACAGGCAGAGGAAGAGGGAGAAGCAGGCUCCCCGCUGAGCAGGGAGCCCGAUGCGGGGUGUGAUCCCAGGACCCUGGGAUAGUGACCUGAGCCGAAGGCAGACGCUUAACGACUGAGCCACCCAGGCGCCCCACUAUAUGUGAUUAUUUUAAAAACAUGUUUAAUGGUAAAUCUUAUCUUCCAAGAGAAUUCUCUUAUAGACAUGCUGCGUGUCCAAAGUGGAGGAAGCCUGGAAAACGAUGGGACCCACACCUUGCCUAGUUUUACAGGGUCGCUGACACAGCUGGGAGCGUUGGUAAGGCAGGAGCCCAUGAGCCCUGGUCCAGGUCGGGCCGCCAAGUUGCCCUGACUGUACUAGAUUCCUGACUGGUCUUUCGGCCUCCCCGUCCUUUCCAGGAGCGCUCAGCACGGUGGGUGACCCUCCUGCUCCCAACCUGUGGUGCCUGAGCCACAGUGUGGAAAUGCCGUGCCUCUGAGCAGGGCAGGAGAGGCCCUCUGCAGCUGAGCCCUGCCUGUUUCUUUGGUCCGGUCUCUGGCUCCUGUGGUCCUCUCUCUCAUCGCACCACAGAAUGCCUGCCGUCGUGCCUCCAGUUAGCUUUGCUCUCGGCCUGGACUGCCUUCCAUCUCUCCUUAGAGUCACUGCAGCAGUUCCGACCUGACCUUGAAGAUGGAACUCAGGGACCUAACUUCUACUCCAACUUUGGGACCUGCCCUUUGUGCCUCUACAGCAGCCAGGGUCUGCCUGUAUUCCGGUCCCUACACUGUGGCUUGCUAUGACCUCUGCCCUGCCGGAAGAUGACCUGAGUGUAGGGACCACGCUUUGUCCACCCCUGUGCCCCUGUCACAUGGUAAGUCCUCGAUGAGCUUUGGUGAGGUUAAUGGCCUCACGGUGCUUCCUGAGCCCAAGGCAGACUUAUGCAGCCAGAGGAAUCCCCCAAGGCCUCCCUAAGCGGUAUGUAAUUGGUGCUUAACAUGUACUUGUCAGACAAUGACUUAACAAAACUUUCCAACCCCAAAAAGGCCACGUUCAUGCUAAUGUUUCCAUUAUAAAUUUUUUUUAAUUAAGAAUACUGAUUAACAACAGGAAACAGAUUUAAUUCACGGAAUUGUGCAUAUGGUCAUCAGUUACAUUGUGACAUGUUAAUUUCUUUAUCAUUUAUUGGCACUGUCAACAGAAUACUGUAAACAAGAUCACUUUGAAUGUGUAAGUCGGCGGAGCUCCCUAGCUAUGGUUCUCUACCAUGAGCUGAUAUACGUAUGUGUAUAUAUAUGUGUGUGUGUGUGUAUGUAUAGAGAUAGGUAUAGGUAUACAGGUAUAUUAAUGUUGUGCACACUUUUGCAUGGUUACUGAGUGUCAGUAAAAAUUAUAAAAAAAACACCCAUUUAUAAUAAAAGUGAGGAUGUGCUAAGA